rnacentral:lncRNA from 1 species
CCGUGCUUAGUCCUAUUUUCUUCUAGUGAAACAUCUUAUGAAAAUCAAAAUUCAAUGAAAAUUUUCAAAUAUCAUGACUAUUAAUUUAAAAAUUUAAAAUCUAAUUUUUAUUUAUUUAUUUAUUUUAAAGAAUUUGAGUUGAGCAAUAAUUCUUAUAAUAUAGACGUAUGGAAGGCGAUUGGUAGACUAAUCUCUAAUUAUCCGAGAAGAUAUCUAACAUAACAAUUUAUUCAAAUA